rnacentral:snoRNA from 1 species
CCUCCUUUUCUUGGCAGGGGCCAGGUGUGUGGCCCACUCUCCUUUAUGGAUGGAGGCAGAGGGAAAGGGCUCUGGCCCCUCAAUGCCGUGUCUUCCUUCAGUGCCAGCGGCUUCCCUUCCUCCGGUUCUAUCCUCAAGUACCAGGACACCA